CCUACGGGAGGCAGCAGUGAGGAAUAUUGGUCAAUGGACGAGAGUCUGAACCAGCCAAGUAGCGUGAAGGAUGACUGCCCUAUGGGUUUUAAACUUCUUUUAUAAAGGAAUAAAACGAGGCAAGUGUGCAUUUUUGCAUGUACUUUAUGAAUUAGGAUAGGCUAACUCCGUGCCAGCAGCCGCGGUAAUACGGAGGAUCCGAGAGUUAUGCGGAUGUAUUGGGUUUAAAGGGAGCGUAGAUGGGUUGUUAAGUCAGUUGUGAAAGUUUGCGGCUCAACCGUAAAAUUGCAAGUGAUACUGGCAGUCUUGAGUACAGUUGAGGUAGGCGGAAUUCGUGGUGUAGCGGUGAAAUGCUUAGAUAUCACGAAGAACCCCGAUUGCGAAGGCAGCUUACUAAACUGUGACUGACAUUGAUGCUCGAAAGUGUGGGUAUCAAACAGGAUUAGAUACCCCGGUAGUC
rnacentral:rRNA from 1 species